rnacentral:misc_RNA from 1 species
GGAGGAGGUGGAGGCGGCUCUUCUCGGCGAGGAGGAGAUCGGACGGCUUCUACGAUCGGCGGUCCCGAAGGUUGAGGCGGGCCUUCUUGUAUUUCACUGGGCUCAUGCCUGGGUGUCUGCAUUUCCUCAGCUCGCUUCAUCUCCCGUACCUUCCGGGAGAUCUCCCUCUUUCGCUUCCGACUCUCCUUGGAGGCUUCGUCCCUUGCCAUACCUGCACAAAAGAGAGGUCAGUGAGAUCGCUAAGGUUCAAAGAUCUGAGAUAUAGACAAAUACCGAUGCCGAGGUCAGAGAGCCGAAGCCCGCGAUCUUCGCCAGUGAUCAACUCUAUUGUCCAGUGAUGCAGUUCGGCAGUCACUGCAUCCAAACAAGAUAACUUCUCUCUGGCCGCCUGAUCUUUCAGCUCCAUCACCAUCAGGCCUUCUUCCCUAUUUAGGGUGAGGCAUUUCGGAAGUAUGGGGCCCUGGUGUGGCUAGCUGCGAGGGAAGCCCUCAAAGCCGUUUGGAAUUUUGCUCCUUAGAAUGAAGAAGCGAUUCUUCCAAUUCUUCAGGGAGGAGGGCAGAUCGGUAAAAAGCCCGCAAUGUGGUUUCGCCUGGAAGAACCAAUACUCGUCGUCCUUUCGACGAGUUAAUCUAUG